rnacentral:tRNA from 1 species
GGAGAGGUGCGAGAGUGGUUGAAUCGGGCGGUCUCGAAAACCGCUGAGCGGGUAACUGCUCCGGGGGUUCGAAUCCCUCCCUCUCCGCCA